UGCAUGCUGAACAUAUAUUGUGCCAC
rnacentral:piRNA from 1 species